rnacentral:lncRNA from 1 species
CUCAGCCCGCCUGCACCCAGGUGAUUAAAAGCUUUAUUGCUCACACAAAGCCUGUUUGAUGGUCUCUUCACACGGACAUGCAUGAAAUUUGGUGCCAUGAGUCGGAUCGGGGGACCUCCCUUGGGAGGGCAAUCCCCUGUCCUCCUGUUCUUUGCUCCAUGAGAAAGAUCCACCUACGACCUCAGGUCCUCAGACCGACCAGCCCAAGGAACAUCUCACCAAUUUUAAAUCGGGUAAGCGGCCUCUUCUUACUCUCUUCUCCAACCUCUCUCACUGUCCUUCAACCACUUUCUCCUUUCCACUCUUCAAUCUCUCCCUUCUCUUAAUUUCAAUUCCUUUCAUUUUCUGGUAGAGACAAAGGAGACACGUUUUAUCCGUGGACCCAAAACUCCGGCGCCGGUCAGGGACUGGGAAGGCAGCCUUCCCUUGGUGUUUAAUCAUUGCAGGGACUGCAAUGAUUAUUCACCCAGGUUUCAGAGGUGUCAGACCAUGCAGGGACGCCUGCCUUGGUCCUUCACCCUUAGCGGCAAGUCCUGCUUUUCUGGGGAAGGGGCAAGUACCCCAACCCCUUCUCUCCGUGUCUCUACCCCUUCUCCUCCUUUCUGGGGGGCAAGAAAUCCCCAACCCCUUCUCCUUCACCCUGAGCGGCAAGUCCUGCUUUUCUAGAGGAGGGGCAAGUACCCCAACCUCGUAUCUCUGCACCCCAAUCCCUUAUUUCCGUGCCCCGACCUCUUAUCUCUGCGCCCAAUCUCUUAUUUCCGCGCCCCAACCUCUUAUAUCUCUGUGCCCCAAUCCCUUAUUUCCACACCCCAACCUCUAAUCUCUGUGCCCCCAUCCCUUAUUUCCGUGCCCCAACCUCUUCUCCGUGCCCCAACCCCUUUCCCGCUUUUCUGGAAGGUAAGAACCCCCAAACCCCUUCCCUCCAUGUCUCUACUCUCUCUUUUCUCUAAGCUUGCUUCCUUCACUAUGGGCAACUUUCCACCCUCCAUUCCUCCUUCUUCUCCCUUAGCCUGUGUCCUCAAAAACUUAAAACCUCUUCAACUCUCACCUAAAUUAAAAUCUAAGCAUCUUAUUUUCUUCUGCAAUGCCGCUUGACCCCAAUACAAACUCAACAGUAGUUCCAAAUAGCCGGAAAACGGCACUUUCAAUUUUUCCAUCCUACAAGAUCUAAAUAAUUCUUGUUGUAAAAUGGGCAAAUGGUCUGAGGUGCCUGACAUCCAGGCAUUCUUUUACACAUCGGUCCCUCUCUAGUCUCUGUUCCCAAUGCAACUCAUCCCAAAUCUUCCUUCUUUCCCUCCCACCUGUCCCCUCAGUCCCAACCCCAAGCGUCGCUGAGGCUUUCUAAUCUUCCUUUUCUACGGACCCAUCUGACCUCUCCCCACCUCCCCAGGCUGCUCCUCGCCAGGCCCAGCUAGGUCCCAAUUCUUCCUCAGCCUCCGCUCCUCCACCCUAUAAUCCUUUUAUCACCUCCCCUCCUCACACCUGGUCUGCCUUACAGUUUCGUUUCGUGACUAGCCCUCCCCCACCUGCCCAGCAAUUGACUCUUAAAAAGGUGGCUGGAGCUAAAGGCACAGUCAAGGUUAAUGCUCCUUUUUCUUUAUCCCAAAUCAGAUAGCGUUUUCAUCAAACAUAAAAACCCAGCCCAGUUCGUGACUCCUUUGGCAGCAGCCCUGAGACGCUUUACAGCCCUAGACCCUAAAAGGUCAAAAGGCCGUCUUAUUCUCAAUAUACAUUUUAUUACCCAAUCUGCUCCCGACAUUAAAUAAAACUCCAAAAAUUAGAAUCUGGCACUCAAACCCCACAACAGGAUUUAAUUAACCUCGCCUUCAAGGUGUACAAUAAUAGAAAAAAGUUGCAAUUCCUUGCCUCCACUGUGAGACAAACCCCAGCCACAUCUCCAGCACACAAGAACUUCCAAACGCCUGAACCGCAGCGGCCAGGCGUUCCUCCAGAACCUCCUCCCCUAGGAGCUUGCUACAAGUGCUAGAAAUCUGGCCACCAGGCCAAGGAAUGCCUGCAGCCCAGGAUUCCUCCUAAGCCAUGUCCCAUCUGUGUGGGACCCCACUGGAAAUCGGACUGUCCAACUCACCUGGCAGCCACUCCCAGAGCCCCUGGAACUCUGGCCCAAGGCUCUCUGACUGCUUCCCAGAUCUUCUUGGCUUAGCGGCUGAAGACUGAUGCUGCCCGACUGCCUUGGAAGCCCCCUAGACCAUCACAGACGCCGAGCUUCGCGUAACUCUCACAGUGGAAAAAGACAGGAAUGUCAGCCCUCUGAGCCCAAGCAAAGCCAUCAUAUCCCCUGUGACCUGCACGUACACAUCCAGAUCGCCGGUUCCUGCCUUAACUGAUGACAUUCCACCACAAAAGAAGUGAAAAUGGCCUGUUCCUGCCUUAACUGAUGACAUUUUCUUGUGAAAUUCCUUCUCCUGGCUCAUCCUGGCUCAAAAGCUCCCCCAUUGAGUACCUUGUGACCCCCACUCCUGCCCGCCAGAGAACAACCCCCCUUUUUCCUUUACCUUCCCAAAUCCUAUAAAACCGCCCCACCCCUGUCUCCCUUGGCUGACUUUCUUUUCAGACUCAGCCCACCUGCACCCAGGUGAUUAAAAGCUUUAUUGCUCACACAAAGCCUGUUUGGUGGUCUCUUCACACGGACGCGCAUGAAAUGUAUAAUGCUUUGUCAGCUCCAAAUCAUACCCUCAACUUUCCAUUUUACAUCUCCGAAAUCUGGAUGUAUCUUAGAGUCGAUGAUGCAAUUAUAAUUGGUAGCUUCCUUUCUUUAUGUUAGUACAUAAAAAUAAGGGUGCAUCCUACAAAUGAUGGCUUCUGAGAUUAGAUAAAAUACCUUUCUAUUAGCUCUGUGGUUCUCUGCCUGUGUAUUGCCAGGAGGAAGGAAGUGGAGCAUUUCAGGUG